rnacentral:rRNA from 1 species
GACGAACGCUGGCGGCGUGCUUAACACAUGCAAGUCGAACGUGAUCCAGAGCUUUGCUCUGGUGAAAGUGGCGCACGGGUAGUAACGCGUGGAUAACCUGCCCUGGUAUCCGGAAUAACAUCUCGAAAGGGGUGCUAAUACCGGAUAAGCCCACGGGCUCUUCGGAGCAUGAGGGAAAAGGUGGCCUCUAUUUAUAAGCUACCGUAUCAGGAUGGGUCCGCGUACCAUUAGCUAGUUGGUGGGGUAAUGGCCUACCAAGGCGACGAUGGUUAGCUGGUCUGAGAGGAUGAUCAGCCACACUGGAACUGAGACACGGUCCAGACUCCUACGGGAGGCAGCAGUGGGGAAUUUUGCGCAAUGGGGGAAACCCUGACGCAGCAACGCCGCGUGAGUGAUGAAGGCUUUCGGGUCGUAAAGCUCUGUCAGUGGGGAAGAAAUGGGACGUGCUAAUACCGCGUUUCCUUGACGGUACCCACAAAGGAAGCACCGGCUAACUCCGUGCCAGCAGCCGCGGUAA